GACAGAGGCAUCUGAUUAGCAGGCAAAGUUUUUGAGUGUUCAGUUCUAUGAUAAAACAGUGAAGGCCUAACUUAAUGAUCAGAAAAAUCUGAGAGGUGCACACUAAAAGGCCACGCCUUCAUCGAAGGAACAAGAGAUGGAUUAAAAAGCGAAAACAAAGAAACAUGAUAUGGGAAAGAAAGCAAUGCAAGAAAAGAAAAUGAGGACCUUGAGAUAGAAAGAUGAAGAAACCCCAUAUCUUGUUUUCUGUAGUUUUGCUGAGGUAAUCCUUGGAAGACUGAAAAACCAACAGAUUUAUUUCACCACAAGAAGCAAGAGACUCAAA